AGGCAUAAGGUAAGAGGACACGUGCACAGCCGUUUGUCCUGUGCGGGAACUGAACCAGAGACCCAGCCUUGUGCAACAGGUACUUAAUGAGGAGGACGAGGAGGGAGGCGGCGAAGAAGAAAAGGACGAACACUAUGUAGAGGACGGCCAGGGAAUCUUCGGACUUGGUCUGGCAAGAAACGAACAGUAAUCGACACCAGUACUCUCAAAGCCAACAUACCUGACAUGGGUCGUCCCCUAAACAUGCCAUGCGGAGCACCAAAGGGUCCAGAGGGUGGAGGAAAAGUCAUCAUGCCAGGUGGUGGGGAACGCCCUCUCAAGAUCAUUU